GGGGGUGAUUCAGAUUCGACGUGUUUACUGGAAUCCGAGGAAGCGUGCCGAGGUUCUCGGGCCUCGUAAAACACCGGGAAAAUUUUCAGGUGCCAAUGACAACAUGGCGCUGGCCGCGUAACUAACGCGUCCCGUCCCAGGAUUCGCCCGGCCCGAGGCGGUCCCAGGGACGUCGCAAAUCGGGCUGGCCGGAGGCGGACGCCGCGACCGCAGCCGGUGAGAUGGCGAAAGCCGUAGUGGCUGGCUGAAGGCGGGCCGUUGGGGAGCCCUGCCUGACGCGAGACGAGAUCCCCGAAUACGCACGUAGAUGCCGAGGAAGAAGGAUUCGCGGACCCGGGUGCAAGUCCCGGCACCUCCAUCA
rnacentral:tmRNA from 1 species